rnacentral:lncRNA from 1 species
GGCCAGUUCCCCAGCAACUCCAUCACCCCCAGGUGAGUGAUUCCCUCCUACACCCCCAGAAACCCGACCAUGGGGAGUGGGCGUGCUGUGCUGUCUUCCCCAGGACAUGGGGACAAGCAGAAGCUUUAGCAGGCAGGAGCUGUUCCAGCUGCAGGGAUACAUCCUGCUCCUUGUCUCUCCACAUCACACCCCGCUGCCCUCACACCCUCUGUCCCACAGCUCCACAUGCCCAGAUCCUGCACGCCCUCCCCACAGGCACACUGCUGGCAGUGGCGGCUGUCAGCCUUGUCCUCGUGUCUGCAGGCAGCUGGUUUGCCAUCAGGAAAGGUGCCUGCAGAGGGAGAUGCCCAAGGUGAGCACCAAGAGCUGCUGGCUGUGGGGUUUGCAGGAGGGAGUUGGGGGCAUGGUGGGGCCCUGGGGUGCUCCUUGUUCAGUGGUAUUCCCUGUGCAGAAGGCAGGAAGGAUGGGGCUUGUCUUGGGCUGCCCUUCAGUUCAAUGCCAAAUGCAGGAAAGCAACACCAAAGGGCAUAAGCCUCCAGACCCCUCCUCAGCACAUGCACAUCCCAGAACCUUUCCAUUCCUCUCCAGGCAGCAGCACGUUGACAGCCCACAGACGGAAGACACCAACUAUGGUGACAUCCAGUGUGAGUACUACCUCCUCCCUUGGGGGAAGCCACACGCCCCUCUCCCCAUGAAAAUACUCUGCAAGCCCCCAUUCAGUCACACCACUUCAUUUCCCACUGGGACAUACAAAAUCCCUGCCUGUUCAUCAAGGCCAGGUUUCUCUCCAGCACCUCACGUCCUGCUUCUUCCUUGCAUGCAGAGUGCGUGCGGCUGCUGGCUGCACAAGGGACAUGGCAGCAUCCCAGUGCUCAUAGGGACAAAGCCCAUUUGCCUGGGGGGUCCUUCCACAGCUGCUGCAGCCCAAGGCUUCAAUUCCCCUGCUAGGCCUCUGCUUUUGUCCUUUCUUCAGUUUUUCUACAAAGCAAUUUCUGUUUUCCUCUAG